UACGUAGGGACCAAGCGUUGUUCGGAUUUACUGGGCGUAAAGGGCGCGUAGGCGGCCUAGCAAGUCACUUGUGAAAUCUCCGGGCUUAACUCGGAACUGCCAAGUGAAACUGCUGGGCUAGAGUGCAGAAGGGGCAACUGGAAUUCUCGGUGUAGCGGUGAAAUGCGUAGAUAUCGAGAGGAACACCUGCGGCGAAGGCGGGUUGCUGGGCUGACACUGACGCUGAGGCGCGAAAGCUAGGGGAGCGAACGGG
rnacentral:rRNA from 1 species